rnacentral:rRNA from 1 species
UUAAGAUACUAAGAGCAUACGGUGGAUGCCUUGGCGAUAUCUGCCGACGAAGGACGUGACAAGCUGCGAAAAGCUGCGGAGAGAUGCAAAUAAUCGGCGACCCGCAGACAUCCGAAUGGAGAAAUCCGGCUGUGAUGAUGCACAGCCAUCCAUGCCCAAGAGCAUGAGAAGGGAACCGGGCGAACUGAAACAUCUAAGUAGCCCGAGGAAAAGAAAUCAAACGAGAUACCCCAAGUAGCGGCGAGCGAACAGGGAAGAAGCCCAAACCGGUGAAGGAAACUUUGCCGGGGUUGAGGACCAUCAGACCCGCGAAGAACCUUAGCCGAAACUGUUGGGAAACAGUGCCGAAGACAGUGAAAGCCUGGUAGGCGAAAAAGAGAAACGCGGAGAUGGCACCAGAGUACCGCGGGACACGAGAAAUCCCGUGGGAAGCAGGGGGGACCACCCUCCAAGGCAAAACACAGAUAUCGACCGAUAGCGCAUAGUACCAUGAGGGAAAGGUGAAAAGCACCCCGGGAGGGGAAUGAAAGAGAACCUGAAACCGUAUGUUUACAAGCAGUCGGAGACCGCUUAAUAAUAAGGUCGACGGCGUGCCUAUUGAAGAAUGAACCGGCGAGUUACGAAGCCUGGCAAGGUUAAGCAGGAAAUGCGGAGCCGAAGCGAAAGCGAGUCUUAAGAGGGCGCAAGUCAGGAAGCGUAGACCCGAAACCACAGUGAUCUACCCAUGUCCAGGUUGAAACACAGGUAAAAAUGUGUGGAGGACCGAACCUAUAUCCGUUGAAAAGGGUUAGGAUGAGGUGUGGGUAGGGGUGAAAUUCCAAUCGAACGUGGAGAUAGCUGGUUCUCCCCGAAAUAGCUUUAGGGCUAGCCUCAGGGAAAAGAUUGCAGGCGGUAGAGCACUGAUCAGGAGAGGGACCUACCCGGUUACCAAACCCAGUCAAACUCCGAAUGGCUGCAAUCAUACCUGGGAGUCAGACUGCGACUAAUAAGGGCCGUAGUCAAAAGGGAAACAGCCCAGACCAUCAGCUAAGGUCCCCAAUGCCGUGCUAAGUGGCGAAGGAUGUGGCAUUUCAUAAACAACCAGGAUGUUGGCUCAGAAGCAGCCACCAUUUAAAGAGUGCGUAAUAGCUCACUGGUCGAGAGACGCUGCGCCGAAAAUGUCCGGGGCUCAAGCACGGAACCGAAGCUAUGGCAUGAUAGCAAUAUCAUGGGUAGGGGAGCGUUCUUAUAAGGAAGAAGCAUGACCGGAAGGACAUGUGGACGAAUAAGAAGUGAGAAUGCCGGUAUGAGUAUCGAAAAGAAAGGUGAGAAUCCUUUCCACCGAAAGCCCGAGGGUUCCUGAGCAACGAUCGUCGACUCAGGGUAAGUCGGGACCUAAGCCGAGGCGAGAAGCGUAGGCGAUGGACAACAGGUUGAAAUUCCUGUACCGGAUCAAGUCGAUCGAGCGAAGGAGCGACGCAGGAGGGCACAUGAUCGCGCGGCUGGAAGAGCGCGUCCAAGUGCGUAUGUUGCAGCAGAGGAAAACCCCUGCAGCUAAAAGCAGAGACAUGAUGGGGAGUUAAAGGAAACUUUGACGAACUCAUGGAUCCCACACUGCCAAGAAAAACUUCUAGCGAGACAAGAUCCGCCCGUACCGUAAACCGACACAGGUAGGCGGGGAGAGAAUCCUAAGGUGCGCGGGAAAACCCUCGUUAAGGAACUCGGCAAAUUGCAUCCGUAACCUAGGGAGAAGGAUGGCCCCCGGUCAGUGAAGAGCAGAAACGCUCAGAGCUAAAAGGGGCGGCAGAAAAGAGGCCCAAGCAACUGUUUACCAAAAACACAGGUGCCUGCGAAAGCGAAAGCUGAAGUAUAGGUGCUGACGCCUGCCCGGUGCCGGAAGGUUAAGGAGAGAAGUUAGCGAAAGCGAAGCAUCGAACUGAAGCCCCGGUGAACGGCGGCCGUAACUAUAACGGUCCUAAGGUAGCGAAAUUCCUUGUCGGGUAAG